UACGUAGGGGGCGAGCGUUGUCCGGAAUUAUUGGGCGUAAAGCGCGCGCAGGCGGUCUUUUAAGUCUGAUGUGAAAGCCCCCGGUUCAACCGGGGAGGGUCAUUGGAAACUGGGAGACUUGAGUGCGGAAGAGGAGAGUGGAAUUCCACGUGUAGCAGUGAAAUGCGUAGAUAUGUGGAGGAACACCAGUGGCGAAGGCGACUCUCUGGUCUGUAACUGACGCUGAGGCGCGAAAGCGUGGGGAGCAAACAGG
rnacentral:misc_RNA from 1 species